rnacentral:rRNA from 1 species
AUUGAACGCUGGCGGCAGGCUUAACACAUGCAAGUCGAGCGGAGAUGAGGUGCUUGCACCUUAUCUUAGCGGCGGACGGGUGAGUAAUGCUUAGGAAUCUGCCUAUUAGUGGGGGACAACAUUCCGAAAGGAAUGCUAAUACCGCAUACGUCCUACGGGAGAAAGCAGGGGAUCUUCGGACCUUGCGCUAAUAGAUGAGCCUAAGUCGGGUUAGCUAGUUGGUGGGGUAAAGGCCUACCAAGGCGACGAUCUGUAGCGGGUCUGGGAGGAUGAUCCGCCACACUGGGACUGAGACACGGCCCAGACUCCUACGUGAGGCAGCAGUGGGGAAUAUUGGACAAUGGGGGGAACCCUGAUCCAGCCAUGCCGCGUGUGUGAAGAAGGCCUUAUGGUUGUAAAGCACUUUAAGCGAGGAGGAGGCUACUGAGACUAAUACUCUUGGAUAGUGGACGUUACUCGCAGAAUAAGCACCGGCUAACUCUGUGCCAGCAGCCGCGGUAACAC